GAUGAACGCUGGCGGCGUGCCUAAUACAUGCAAGUCGAGCGAACAGACGAGGAGCUUGCUCCUCUGACGUUAGCGGCGGACGGGUGAGUAACACGUGGAUAACCUACCUAUAAGACUGGGAUAACUUCGGGAAACCGGAGCUAAUACCGGAUAAUAUAUUGAACCGCAUGGUUCAAUAGUGAAAGACGGUUUUGCUGUCACUUAUAGAUGGAUCCGCGCCGCAUUAGCUAGUUGGUAAGGUAACGGCUUACCAAGGCGACGAUGCGUAGCCGACCUGAGAGGGUGUUCGGCCACACUGGAACUGAGACACGGUCCAGACUCCUACGGGAGGCAGCAGUAGGGAAUCUUCCGCAAUGGGCGAAAGCCUGACGGAGCAACGCCGCGUGAGUGAUGAAGGUCUUCGGAUCGUAAAACUCUGUUAUUGGGGAAGAACAAAUGUGUAAGUAACUAUGCACGUCUUGACGGUACCUAAUCAGAAAGCCACGGCUAACUACGUG
rnacentral:rRNA from 1 species